ACGAGAUGGAGACAUUAAGCGAAACCCAAAAAAGUAAGUCUCAGUUCGGAUUGAAGGCUGAGAUUCGCCUUCAUGAAGCCGGAAUUGCUAGUAAUGGCAGGUCAGCAUACUGCCGUGAAUACGUUCCCGGGCCCUUGUACACACCGCCCGUCACACCAUGAGAGUUGGGAAUACCCGAAGCCUGUGAGCUAACGCAAGAGGCAGCAGUCGAAGGUAGAAUCAAUGAUUGGGGUGAAGUCGUAACAAGGUAGC
rnacentral:rRNA from 1 species